GACGAACGCUGGCGGCGUGCUUAACACAUGCAAGUCGAGCGGCAAGGCCCUUUCGGGGGUACACGAGCGGCGAACGGGUGAGUAACACGUGGGUGACCUGCCCUCAGCUCUGGGAUAAGCCUGGGAAACCGGGUCUAAUACUGGAUAUGACUCCAUGACGCAUGUUGUGAGGUGGAAAGCCUUGUGCGGCUGAGGAUGGGCCCGCGGCCUAUCAGCUUGUUGGGGGGUGAUGGCCUACCAAGGCGACGACGGGUAGCCGGCCUGAGAGGGCGACCGGCCACACUGGGACUGAGACACGGCCCAGACUCCUACGGGAGGCAGCAGUGGGGAAUCUUGCGCAAUGGGCGAAAGCCUGAC
rnacentral:rRNA from 1 species